CGAUAAUGCUCUCAUAGAUCGUAUUGUGAAGAAGUUCCAAAGCAUAAGAGUAAAGAAGGAGGCCUGGAAAAACUCAAGAAGCAAGGCAUUGUUGCUGCUACAUAGUACACGGGUCAUGCAAACACAACACAGACCAGUGUAACUUGCUGCCAGGAGAAACCAAACAGGUCAAAGAAGAAACACAGUACACGGGCCAUGUAACACGACCUGUGUAACCUGUGGAGACCCAUGUAAGAUUCUUCCUGGCAAAGCUCGAAGAGUUCCUAGAAGAACAACAGAACACAGGCUGUGUAAUUGGACCCAUGUGAAUAUCUGAGACCCGUGUAAUCUUCUAACCAAAUAUGUGAUGCAGCCUUCAAGUUCCAAUAAGUUACACAGCCCUGGGCCGUGUAGUAACACAUGGGCCAUAUAUCAACUAAUAGCCAGUUUCUUGAUUAGGUUCCAGCUCUAGUUUUUAUAGGAAGGAGAUGCCUUGGGGACUCUAAAACCUAACCCUUGAACAUUCAAUAUAAAUAGAAGUAGCAGAAAAUAGAGAAGGGAUAUCCUGGCAUUAACAUUUUCACAUACACAUCUUCAUUCACAUACAUCUUCAUUCUCUCCAAGUCGUCUUGAAGAAUAGUGCAUCAACAUCAAGGAGGAGUCCUCAGCCAAAGUUCCACAAGUUUAAAGUUGCA
rnacentral:misc_RNA from 1 species